CAAUAGCGUAUAUUUAAGUUGUUGCAGUUAAAAAGCUCGUAGUUGGAUUUCUGCUGAUCGCUGUCGGUCUGCCGUCAGGUGUGUACUGGCAGUGUUUGGCAUCUAUUCGAGAUUGGGUGUCCACUUGAUUGUGUGCACUCGAUGUCGGAGCUAAUACUUUGAGAAAAUUAGAGUGUUCCACGCAGGCGCGUGCCUUGAAUACUGCAGCAUGGGAUAUUGGAAGGCCGAUUGAGCUUUCUUGUUGGUUCUCGGUUUGAUCGGAAUGAUUAAUAGGGAUAGUUGGGGGCAUUCGUAUUCAACUGUCAGAGGUGAAAUUCUUGGAUUUGUUGAAAACGGACUACUGCGAAAGCAUCUGCCAUGGAUGUUCUCAUUGA
rnacentral:rRNA from 1 species